rnacentral:tRNA from 1 species
UGUUUAAUAGUUUAUUUAAAACGUUAAUUUUGUAAGUUAAAAAUAAUAAAUAUUAUUUAAAACAU